rnacentral:rRNA from 1 species
GACGAACGCUGGCGGCGUGCUUAACACAUGCAAGUCGAGCGGUAAGGCCCUUUCGGGGGUACACGAGCGGCGAACGGGUGAGUAACACGUGGGUGACCUGCCCUUAGCUCUGGGAUAAGCCUGGGAAACUGGGUCUAAUACCGGAUAUGACUCCAUGACGCAUGUUGUGGGGUGGAAAGCCUUGUGCGGCUAGGGAUGGGCCUGCGGCCUAUCAGCUUGUUGGUGGGGUGANGGCCUACCAAGGCGACGACGGGUAGCCGGCCUGAGAGGGCGACCGGCCACACUGGGACUGAGACACGGCCCAGACUCCUACGGGAGGCAGCAGUGGGGAAUCUUGCGCAAUGGGCGAAAAGCCUGACGCAGCGACGCCGCGUGGGGAUGACGGCCU